rfam:Myotis lucifugus cont2.43642, whole genome shotgun sequence.
GGCGAUUGUUGGGUGAUGCACCCCGGAAUCGGGCUCCUUCCUCUCUGGUUCCAGGUGUGUCACCCAAGACUGCA